CGACUUCGCAGGGGUGCUAAUCGGCGACUUCGCAUUGGAGAGUUUGUUGGGUGCUAAUCGGCGACAUCACGGGGUCCAAAUCGGCGACAUCGCGGCAACAAACAUAAUCAAGAAUCUGUAAUCGGUACAUAUGCUUUGGCUUGAAGGUGUGUUUGAUUAGCUCAUAAAAAGUUGUUAUGGCUUUGUUUGCUACAAUGGUUGAUUAGGUAAGACUUCGAACUCGCUGUACAGUAUUUUUUCCCGAUCGUUGUUGAUUAUGUUGUGUUUUUCCCUUUCUCUGCUCUUGCUGGAAAGGUGACUACUACCGGUAUCUUGCUGAGUUUAAGACUGACCAGGAAAGAAAAGAGGUUGCUGAACAAUCACUGAAGGGUUAUGAGGCAUGUUGAUCAAUUGUCUUGACAUCCUAUACUAGAGAUAUGCAUAGUGAAUUGCUGCAUAUUGACAUAGUUUUGUUUUUAACCUUCACUUGAUGUGUCUUCUUGGUGCUGUUCUUUCUUCUUUUUCUUUUUUUAGGUUGCUUUUACCACUGCA